AAAGUCGCAUUAUACAAUAAUCGUCUGGAAAAAUAAAAUGGGAAGAUUGGAGGUGGACACAGUAACCGUUGCAAAGGAGGCAAGUAGGUGGAAGAUGUCCAGCUCGAUAGUGCUGUGCUGAAGACCUCUAUGUCGCGUAUAUGUGGAGGAAUUUCGCCGGAAGCAACCGAUUUGAAGAUCACGGUGAAUCGAAAAUUCAGGAAGCUGGCGAAUCCUGGUUUCAACAAUCCAGUAUAGGCAUGCACGCAGUACGGCUACUGGGAACUAAACGGGAUCCCAGUUUGUCGACCUUUGACAGAGGAAUUCGUGCAAGACUACAUUGUUGAGACAAAUUUGAACCCUAAACAGUAGACAAUGGAGAGGGAACGUGGAAAUCACGCAGAAGUCAAAUUGCCAUUUUAAAUUAGCCAACUUUCUUUCCAACGAAGAUUCUUCGCAUAGGUAAUGAUAAGAAAGUUACCCAGAAAUCUUCUUCUUUGCUUGAAAACUAUAUUGGGUGAUACACAGACUUCAUCAUGGCUCUUAGUUUCCCAAAAAGGUUUGAUCGACAAGUGAAGCCAGCAAUGGCUUCUUCUUCCACCAAAGUUGCUUAGAAAAAAUAUGAUGUGUUUAUCAGCUUUAGAGGUUCAGACAUCACAGAUGGGUUUCUAAGCCAUUUGAAAAGGGAGUUGAGUAAAAAGGGUAUAAAUGUCUAUGUAGAUGAGAGGCUGGAGAGAGGAGAUGAAAUAUCACCAGCACUUAAGAA